AUUCAUCUGAGGAGUCCCAAAUAGAAUGGAACGCGUGUCCUGAAU
rfam:Schistosoma rodhaini strain Burundi genome assembly, scaffold: SROB_scaffold0000667